rnacentral:rRNA from 1 species
UACGUAGGGCGCAAGCGUUAUCCGGAAUUAUUGGGCGUAAAGAGCUCGUAGGCGGUUUGUCGCGUCUGCCGUGAAAGUCCGGGGCUCAACUCCGGAUCUGCGGUGGGUACGGGCAGACUAGAGUGAUGUAGGGGAGACUGGAAUUCCUGGUGUAGCGGUGGAAUGCGCAGAUAGUCAGGAGGAACACCGAUGGCGAAGGCAGAUCUCUGGGCCGUAACUGACGCUGAGGAGCGAAAGCAUGGGGAGCGAACAGG